CCUACGGGGGGCUGCAGUCGGGAAUAUUGCCCAAUGGUCGCAAGACUGAGGCAGCAACGCCGCGUGCGCGAUGAAGGCCUUCGGGUCGUAAAGCGCUUUUCAGUGGGAUGAGGAAGGACAGUACCACUGGAAUAAGGUACGGCUAACUACGUGCCAGCAGCCGCGGUAAAACGUAGGUACCGAGCGUUAUCCGGAUUUACUGGGCGUAAAGCGUGUUCAGGCGGUCUAGCAAGUCGGGCAUGAAAUCUCUGGGCUCAACCCGGAGGGGUUGUCCGAAACUGCUGGGCUUGAGGGCAGCAGAGGGUGGUGGAAUUCCGGGUGUAGUGGUGAAAUGCGUAGAUAUCCGGAGGAACACCAGUGGCGAAGGCGGCCACCUGGGCUGUACCUGACGCUCAAACACGAAAGCUAGGGGAGCGAACGGGAUUAGAUACCCGGGUAGUC
rnacentral:rRNA from 1 species